GAUGAACGCGGCGGCGUGCUUAACACAUGCAAGUCGAACGGAGACUUUUUCAGUGCAACCUUCGGGGAGCAAGAGAAAGUCUUAGUGGCGGACGGGUGAGUAACGCGUGGGCAACCUGCCUCGCACCGUGGGAUAACAGGGGGAAGCUCCUGCUAAUACCGCAUAAAGUAUAUAGACGCAUGUCAAUAUACAAAAAGGGAUACCGGUGAGAGAUGGGCCCGCGUCCGAUUAGAUAGUUGGCAGGAUAGCAGCCUACCAAGUCGACGAUCGGUAGCCGGCUUGAGAGAGUGGACGGCCACACUGGGACUGAGACACGGCCCAGACUCCUACGGGAGGCAGCAGUGGGGAAUAUUGGACAAUGGGGGCAACCCUGAUCCAGCGACGCCGCGUGAGUGAAGAAGUAUCUCGGUACGUAAAGCUCUAUCAGCAGGGAAAGAAAAAAGACCGGUACCU
rnacentral:rRNA from 1 species